UACGUAGGGCGCAAGCGUUGUCCGGAAUUAUUGGGCGUAAAGAGCUCGUAGGCGGUUUGUCACGUCGGAUGUGAAAGCCCGGGGCUUAACCCCGGGUCUGCAUUCGAUACGGGCAGACUAGAGUGUGGUAGGGGGAGAUCGGAAUUCCUGGUGUAGCGGUGAAAUGCGCAGAUAUCAGGAGGAACACCGGUGGCGAAGGCGGGUCUCUGGGCCGUAACUGACGCUGAGGAGCGAAAGCGUGGGGAGCGAACAGG
rnacentral:rRNA from 1 species